UACGAGGGGGGCGAGCGUUGUUCGGAAUUAUUGGGCGUAAAGGGUUCGUAGGCGGUUUGGUAAGUCUUGUGUGAAAUCUACAGGCUCAACUUGUAGUCUGCACGAGAAACUGCCGGGCUUGAGUGUGGGAGAGGUGAGUGGAAUUCCUGGUGUAGCGGUGAAAUGCGUAGAUAUCAGGAGGAACACCUGUGGCGAAAGCGGCUCACUGGACCAUAACUGACGCUGAUGAACGAAAGCUAGGGGAGCAAACAGG
rnacentral:rRNA from 1 species